rnacentral:rRNA from 1 species
CCUACGGGGGGGCUGCAGUGGGGAAUAUUGGACAAUGGGGGGAACCCUGAUCCAGCCAUGCCGCGUGUGUGAAGAAGGCCCUCGGGUUGUAAAGCACUUUCAGUGAGGAAGAACGCCUGGUGGUUAAUACCCAUCAGGAAAGACAUCACUCACAGAAGAAGCACCGGCUAACUCCGUGCCAGCAGCCGCGGUAAUACGGAGGGUGCGAGCGUUAAUCGGAAUUACUGGGCGUAAAGCGCGCGUAGGUGGCUUGAUAAGCCGGUUGUGAAAGCCCCGGGCUCAACCUGGGAACGGCAUCCGGAACUGUCAAGCUAGAGUGCAGGAGAGGAAGGUAGAAUUCCCGGUGUAGCGGUGAAAUGCGUAGAGAUCGGGAGGAAUACCAGUGGCGAAGGCGGCCUUCUGGACUGACACUGACACUGAGGUGCGAAAACGUGGGUAGCAAACAGGAUUAGAUACCCCAGUAGUC